GAUGAACGCUAGCGGCAGGCUUAACACAUGCAAGUCGAGGGGUAGAGGAAGCUUGCUUCCUUGAGACCGGCGCACGGGUGCGUAACGCGUAUACAAUCUACCUUUUACAGAGGGAUAGCCCCAGAGAAAUUUGGAUUAAUACCUCAUAGUAUUUUCGGAUCGCAUGAUUUGAUUAUUAAAGUUCCAACGGUAAAGAUGAGUAUGCGUCCCAUUAGCUAGAUGGUAAGGUAACGGCUUACCAUGGCAAUGAUGGGUAGGGGUCCUGAGAGGGAGAUCCCCCCACACUGGUACUGAGACACGGACCAGACUCCUACGGGAGGCAA
rnacentral:rRNA from 1 species